AUGGGAACGCGAAGAACCUUACCUAGACUUGACAUCUCCUGAAUAGUGUAGAGAUACAUGAAGCCCUUCGGGGCAGGAAGACAGGUGGUGCAUGGUUGUCGUCAGCUCGUGUCGUGAGAUGUUGGGUUAAGUCCCGCAACGAGCGCAACCCUUAUUGUUAGUUGCUACCAUUAAGUUGAGCACUCUAGCGAGACUGCCCGGGGUUAACCGGGAGGAAGGUGGGGAUGACGUCAAAUCAUCAUGCCCCUUAUGUCUAGGGCAACACACGUGCUACAAUGGUGAGUACAGAUAGAUGCGAUACCGCAAGGUGGAGCCAAACUCUAAAACUCAUCCCAGUUCGGAUUGUAGGCUGCAACUCGCCUACAUGAAGUUGGAGUUGCUAGUAAUCGCGAAUCAGAAUGUCGCGGUGAAUACGUUCCCGGGUCUUGUACACACCG
rnacentral:rRNA from 1 species